GGUUAAGCGACUAAGCGUACACGGUGGAUGCCCUGGCAGUCAGAGGCGAUGAAGGACGUGCUAAUCUGCGAUAAGCGUCGGUAAGGUGAUAUGAACCGUUAUAACCGGCGAUUUCCGAAUGGGGAAACCCAGUGUGUUUCGACACACUAUCAUUAACUGAAUCCAUAGGUUAAUGAGGCGAACCGGGGGAACUGAAACAUCUAAGUACCCCGAGGAAAAGAAAUCAACCGAGAUUCCCCCAGUAGCGGCGAGCGAACGGGGAGCAGCCCAGAGCCUGAAUCAGUGUGUGUGUUAGUGGAAGCGUCUGGAAAGGCGCGCGAUACAGGGUGACAGCCCCGUACACAAAAAUGCACAUGCUGUGAGCUCGAUGAGUAGGGCGGGACACGUGGUAUCCUGUCUGAAUAUGGGGGGACCAUCCUCCAAGGCUAAAUACUCCUGACUGACCGAUAGUGAACCAGUACCGUGAGGGAAAGGCGAAAAGAACCCCGGCGAGGGGAGUGAAAAAGAACCUGAAACCGUGUACGUACAAGCAGUGGGAGCACGCUUCGGCGUGUGACUGCGUACCUUUUGUAUAAUGGGUCAGCGACUUAUAUUCUGUAGCAAGGUUAACCGAAUAGGGGAGCCGAAGGGAAACCGAGUCUUAACUGGGCGUUAAGUUGCAGGGUAUAGACCCGAAACCCGG
rnacentral:rRNA from 1 species